GGAGAUUUGGCUCAGUGGCAGAGCGCUUGCCUAGGAAGCGCAAGGCCCUGGGUUCGGUCCCCAGCUCCG
rfam:Rattus norvegicus chromosome 17, whole genome shotgun sequence.